GCAUAUCAAUAAGCGGAGGAAAAGAAACUAACAAGGAUUCCCCUAGUAACGGCGAGUGAAGCGGGAUGAGCUCAAAUUUAAAAUCUGGCUGGUUUACUAGUCCGAAUUGUAGUUUAAAGAAGUGUUUUCGGUGGCAGCCUGGGUAUAAAUCCUUUGGAACAGGGUAUCAUAGAGGGUGAGAAUCCCGUCUUUGACUCAGUGCAUGCUACUAUGUGAUACAUUUUCAAAGAGUCGAGUUGUUUGGGAAUGCAGCUCAAAAUGGGUGGUAAAUUUCAUCUAAGGCUAAAUAUUGGCGAGAGACCGAUAGCGAACAAGUACCGUGAGGGAAAGAUGAAAAGAACUUUGAAAAGAGAGUUAAACAGUGCGUGAAAUUGUUGAAAGGGAAACGCUUGACACCAGUCAUGCGAGCGGAAAAUCAGUCUUUUGCAGUGGGGGGUUGUGUGGGAUCGGACCGCAAGGCCGGCCUAUGCUGCAUCUCUGCUGUAAGUGAUGCACUUUUUCGUUUGCAGGCCAACAUCAGUUUCUUCUGCUGGACAAAACUCUUGAGAAGGUAGCAGCUUUGGCUGUGUUAUAGCUCUUGAGCGAUACAGUGGAGGGGACUGAGGUUUUCGCAGCGCGUGCUUUCGGGCAAGGCUGAUUGGGUGCUAUGGGAUCGUUCGGUGUACAAUGCAUGCAUUUUGCGCCGUGUCUUUUCUGUACUCGCUCAACUCGGCUCUCCGCG
rnacentral:rRNA from 1 species